rnacentral:rRNA from 1 species
GACGAACGCUGGCGGCGUGCUUAACACAUGCAAGUCGAACGGAAAGGCCCUGCUUUUGUGGGGUGCUCGAGUGGCGAACGGGUGAGUAACCCGUGAGUAACCUGACCUUGACUUUGGGAUAACUUCAGGAAACUGGGGCUAAUACCGGAUAGGAGCUCCUGCUGCAUGGUGGGGGUUGGAAAGUUUCGGCGGUUGGGGAUGGACUCGCGGCUUAUCAGCUUGUUGGUGGGGUAGUGGCUUACCAAGGCUUUGACGGGUAGCCGGCCUGAGAGGGUGACCGGCCACAUUGGGACGGAGGUACGGCCCAGACGCCUACGGGAGGCAGCAGUGGGGAGUAUUGCACAAUGAGCGGAAGCCUGAUGCAGCAACGCCGCGUGCGGGAUGACGGCCUUCGGGUUGUAAACCGCUUUCGCCUGUGACGAAGCGUGAGUGACGGUAAUGGGUAAAGAAGCACCGGCUAACUACGUG